UCAUAUAGUCUAGUCUUUAUUGAAAGACUUACUUCAACUGUUGUUUACAGCUUUGGCUUAAGUUGGCCAUUUUAGCCUCUCACUGCCAGCAGACAUAAAAAUCAAGUGGGAAUGGCACGGGGGUUGGGAGUGAAAAUACUAGUAGAGAAAUUAUGAGAACAAAGAAUAUGGCAGUCAGUCAGAAACACAUCACCAAAAUAAAUCUCAAAAUAAUUAUGAAAUAAAAAACAUUUCCUUGCAUGCCCAAAAAGUCUCUGCUGAUGUUUUUGAUGAACGGGGUGGGGAGCAACGAUUCUUAGGCUUAAGUUGGAUCAAGAUAGCAUUGGGUCAUGUUAUAAAAUCAUCUGUUAGCUCAACAGCCAUACUUUUAAUUAAUUCAUUUAUUUUUUGAGAUGGAGUCUCGCUCUGUCGCCCAGGAUAAUUUUAUUAAAUCAUAGAAUAUACAGUCAGGAAACACUACAGCUAUAUUUAGCUGUUAGUUAUCUCAAUAAGCUACUUAAUUUACUGGCAGACCAAAACAGGCAUACUAAGCAUUUUUAUCAAUUAAAAAAAGUCUUCAGUUGUUCAAGUUUCACAUAUACUCAUAAAAUUUUUAACUCGGGGGCACAGUUAACAUAAUUUAUUGAGUGUUCUCCCUAUAAAAUAUAAAUUAACUUUUCCAAAAACAUUCCUCAAAGAUACUAUAAACAAAAGAAAUAAGGGUAUAUUUUAUAACAGAAGAGUGUAAUAGAUGACCAUUAUGGUAAAACUAAGGUGCCAUAAAAAAUUUGGCCCAGCUAUGAAUUUCAGACCCUAUGAAUUUUUAUGUUGAAUACAUUUGGCUAUAUUGCUAAGUGGGAAAAGGAGGAAAGUAAUACCAAAAUUAUUGUGACCACCAAUUUAUAAAAUCAUUAUUUUAAAGCUAAUCGUAAAACUUCAAAUGUUUAGAAAACAGUAAUUUGUGGGUACUAAUCGCAUCUUACUAUGUAACUGUAAAAGGCUAUUUUCUCUUUGGUGCCCAGGCCAGCAUUUUGAAUACAUUGCCAAAACAUUUGCACUCCCUAGCUCUGACAAUUCAAAUACAUAGGAUUUUAUCUAUUUUACAUUCCUGUUUGAUAGAAAUUUGAGGCAAAUUUUACCCACACAGCCUGAAAAAUACCUUGAAAGCAAACCUCGGUCUUCUGCAUCUUCCAAUUGAUUCCUUUACAAACUCUGCACACAUACAACUUAAGCCUCUGCUCAGGCUUAUUAUACCAUGCACACUGCCCACAAGGAAAAAAAUUAAUUGAAAAUAAAAGCCACAACUCUGUGUACUAUUUAAACUGAAUAUCCAAUUAUAAAUUGGUACAUUGAAGUGUCUAAAUAAGAUGUUUUUAGCAAUCUUGUUAAAAAAAUUCUUGGGCAAAAUAUAUCUUAAUUUUUAAAAACACCCCAAGAUUUUUAAAAAACACUUGUACUAUACAACUUAUAGUAACCUUGAAAUUGGUUUACAAGGUUUUAAUCAAGGUAUUUACAUACCAAGUAAUGUAAAGCAAAAAAAAAAAAAAAA
rnacentral:lncRNA from 1 species